rnacentral:rRNA from 1 species
UGGGGAAUAUUGCACAAUGGGCGCAAGCCUGAUGCAGCCAUGCCGCGUGUAUGAAGAAGGCCUUCGGGUUGUAAAGUACUUUCAGCGGGGAGGAAGGCGAUAAGGUUAAUAACCUUGUCGAUUGACGUUACCCGCAGAAGAAGCACCGGCUAACUCCGUGCCAGCAGCCGCGGUAAUACGGAGGUGCAAGCAGUUAAUCGGAAUUAGAUCUGGGCGUAAAGCGCACGCAGGCGGUCUGUCAAGUCGGAUGUGAAAUCCCCGGGCUCAACCUGGGAACUGCAUUCGAAACUGGCAGGCUGGAGUCUUGUAGAGGGGGUAGAAUUCCAGGUGUAGCGGUGAAAUUGCGUAGAGAUCUGGAGGAAUACCGGUGGCGAAGGCGGCCCCCUGGACAAAGACUGACGCUCAGGUGCGAAAGCGUGGGAGCAAAACA